rnacentral:rRNA from 1 species
UACGGAGGGGACUAGCGUUGUUCGGAAUUACUGGGCGUAAAGCGCACGUAGGCGGAUUGUUUAGUCAGGGGUGAAAUCCCGAGGCUCAACCUCGGAACUGCCUUUGAUACUGGCAAUCUCGAGUCCGGAAGAGGUGAGUGGAAUUCCUAGUGUAGAGGUGAAAUUCGUAGAUAUUAGGAAGAACACCAGUGGCGAAGGCGGCUCACUGGUCCGGUACUGACGCUGAGGUGCGAAAGCGUGGGGAGCAACAGG